GGCAAACAGCGCAGGUCCGCUUCCCGUCUGUGGAAGCUUUGUUCUUUCGCUCUUGACAAUAAAUCUUAAUGCUGCUCUCUCUUUGGGUCCAUGCCAUCUUUAAGAGCUGUGACACUUACAGCCAAGGUCCGGGGCUCCAUUCUUGAAGUCAGCGAGACCACGAAUCCACCGGAAGGAGCAAACUCUGGACAUGGCAUGUGCUUUUGCAGGAAGGACGCUGGACUCUUGCACUAUAAGUUGAAAACAUCGCUUAUAAACAAUACAUCACAGCACACUUGCAGAGAGAGCACUGGUUCAUCAAAAUAAGAUAUGAUCAAGGUACAAAAGAGUUAAAGAAGCUAUUUAUUUUAAUGUUUCCUUGGAGAGCACACUUGUUAUUGUAUGUAUGCAAAAGAUGAUCUUACUCUUGAGAGCCACUAGAACUCUUUGAAGAAAAAAAAAUGCUAUUUGCUAUAGGGAAAUCUUUCUGGAAAAGUAAUAAUUUCACCUUUGAGUCAGCUUCCCUGGACUCUUGCCUCAUACAUCUUCAGCCAAGCACCUCCCUCCCCUUCUUGCUCCUGUUUUUUCCAUGUGAAGAUGCCUGCCCCAGCUUUGCCUUCCACCAUGAGUAAAAGCUUCCCAAGUCCUCCCCAGAAGCAGAUGCUGGCGCUAUGCUUCUGGUACAGCCUGAAAAACCUUGAGCCAAUUAAACCUCAGUGAGCUCAAGAUGUCUUUGUUGAAACAGAACCUCCCGAAGUUACAGUAUUGGUUUUGGGGCUCCACACAGAGAACACAUCACGGAAGCUAUAAUUGAGGAAGACAAAGCUGUCAGGACGACACCAAGAGAGUUAGAAAGCCCAAGAGUGGAGCAUUCUUCACCAUGAUUCCACCUGACACUUGGCUGAAAGCAUUUUGCACUAAUUUGCUUUGUGCCCGUUCAGACAAUCUAAAAAGAAAGGAUGGGGGGACAACAAGUGUCUAUUACACAGAAUAAACAGCCUCUGGCAAAUGAAUACA
ensembl:lncRNA LINC02253 long intergenic non-protein coding RNA 2253